rfam:Legionella waltersii strain ATCC 51914 Lwal_ctg060, whole genome shotgun sequence.
GUGGCUGGACGUUUGAGUCGGGAAACCCUUCAUGGAUAUCUGCCAUUCGGCAGCGUAGAUUUCUUUAGAAAUUUACUGUCA